GCCUCGUGACGCAGGAGGAGUAGGCGACAGCUUGGGCAACCGCGCCUCGGGCUGACUCUGAGCCUGUGGCCGGUGUUCCGCGCCUCCCGGCCGGGCGGCUCGCAGGCUGCGCCAUGUCGUUGGCUGUGGGCGACAGCGGGCGGCUGGGCAGGUUCAGCAGGCGGGGGGCGACCCCCGGGACGCCCUGGCUGGGGGGCGGCGUGGUGGCUCGGAGUCUGCAGGCCGAGCUGCUGUGGGAGGAGGAGGAGGAGGAGGAGGAGGAGGCAGCGAGCGGUGUCUCUGUGUCCCAGGGCGGGGCCCCGUUGCCGCCGCUGUCUCACAAGCGGAAUGGCGUGUUGAUGGCUCCGCCGGGAGGGAAACAUUGGCCGGCCCGGGCCUGCUCGGUGCUGUGCUGCCUGCUGGCCGUCUCCGCCCUCGCCUUCCUCCUGGCCAUCGGUUGCCUCGUGCUCAAAGAUUUGCGCUCUGAGAAAGAGAAGAAUGAAGAUGGUAUAGAAACUGGCUUGUUAGGAUUUUGGGGUCUGUUCGUUCUAGCCUUGAUGACAGGGCUCUCAUGCUGCAGCUUUUCUUGGACAGUGACUUAUUUUGAUUCCUUUGAACCAGGAAUGUUUCCUCCGACUCCACUUUCACCUGCACGAUUCAAAUUGUAAUGGGAUAAGGAUAGAUGCUGCAAGGAAAGACUUCACCUUGAAAAAAGUUUUUAAGUCACCAUAUGGACAACAUGGGGACCAGAGCACCGUCACAGACUCAGCACUUUUUCCUCUGUGCUGCCUUGUCUCAGACAGAGAAGGGAGUUGAGCACCUGCAUGUUAGACAUAUUUCCAGGAUGUGUGUCAGUGGGGUCCCACUGCUAUGCUUGUAGGGGGAGAAGAAGAGAAGGGACAACCUAAGAAGUGACCCUGACCUUCCAAAAAUUUGAAGGGGAGAAGAGUACAACCUUCCCAAAAUCACUGUUCUUGCAUCCAGUGGGUUUUAUGCUUUAAUCUCUCUAGUUUAUCUCCAGGGCAUAGGAGGAGACUUAAUUGGGAUAGAGGGAAGCUUGUGAAAGUAGCAGCAAUAGGGCUUGGGGCAUCUGGACAUGCACUUUUUUAUUUCAUCUGACCUCAGCCUGCAUGUGUGAUAACGGCACUCGCUUCACUGCAGUGAAUCAAGGCUCCACCACUGAAGUUUCUGUCCGCCAACACCAGCAAAGGAGACUGACCGGGCAUUCCUUCCACAUGGGCUAUAGUAUGGCAAUACUGAAUGGCAUUGUGGCAGCUCUCACCAUAGUAUGGUGCCUCAUUUGAAUCCUACGCUGGGUCGGUGGUGAUCUUCAACAGUUCAAGAUGCACAUAUGGAAGGCUAGCUUCAGAACCAUACUACUACACACAAACUACUAUAAACUGUCCAGUCUGCUUUUUUUACAACACUGUGGAAUGACAUUUCACAACUCAAAUAGAAAUGUCUACCUUUCACUGUAUGUUUCAGAUUUAUAGACGAAUCUUUGGGUUCAUAUUUAUAGGGUGUUUGCUUGAGUUGCAUUAAGAGUGGGGGGAGGGGAAAAUGCCAUAUAGGCAAAAUGGGAAUUUGUCUUAAAACAAGAAGAAAUACUUACAAAUUGAAAAUGUUUUAAAUCCUUGGGAUGACACUUUUUGAUUCCUUUAUACAGUAAUAGCAUUCUUAUCUGCACUUCCAGCUAUACUACAGAGUACAGAUAAACAUGACACUUAUAAAUUUAACCAUAUGUUUAAAAUGUACAGUGUUGCUAAUAAUAAAGGCCACUAACUUUUUUUCCACUGUACAUGCUAUUUAACUUGUACUUGGCCAAGUAGUGAAAACUAGAUUGACUUUUGCUAGUCUAGUAAAUUUUAUACUCUGGUUCGCCAGCAUUCACACAAUACUAGUUUAUAACACGGCAGAGAACAAUUUAUUUAAAUAUUUAAUUAGAUUUAAAAAAAAAAAAUCAAAAAUAUUUCAUUUCGUAUUAGCUUUAUAAAAUCCCCUCCUUGUUUUGUAAACAACCUAAAACUUUAGCCUAAAUCACGUGAUAGUGUUUUUACUUGGGAGUAAUGCAACUAUAUGCUGCAACUACUGUUUAUACAAAAAAAAUUCACUAAGAAUGUGUGGAAACUUCUCCACUUUGUGCCAUUAAAGUAUAGAAAAUAUUGCCUAAUCUUUUCACAUAGUAAAUAGAGAUAUAAAAUCAGUUUCCAGUAUCUGCAGUAGUGUGCCUCACUGAAGAACUGCAGGAGUUAUUUUUAUGGCUUUUUGCAUCUUUGUAAUGUAUGUAACUGCUCAGCUUCUUAAAAUAUUUUUCUUAAUCUCUUAAAAGGAUCAGGAGUCUACAAAACAGUUAAACUACAAUGGCAUAAGUGUUGGAAUUUCAUUUGUCUGUCUUAUUUUGCUUCACCUGCAUCUUUGAAGUGUAUGGAUAUUUUAAGAUGUAUAGUGGUUGUAUUCUGUAAUUAAAAUGCUUGUAAAGAUUGUUAGAGUAUCAAACUCUUGUAAAAGUAUAAAAAACCCAGAUUCAUUUCCAGAUUGCAAGUUAAUUUGUAUAACUUAAAAAAUUAACAUCCUGUAAAAUGUGCAAAUCAGCAGUUCAAUUUGACUGGAUUUAAACAAAUCAGAAUGAUCACUUUAAAAGUUGACUACACUUUUAAAAUGUAUGUAUUGUUUACAUAUAAGAGUGUGCAUGUUUAGUAUAUUAAAGAUGAACCAAUUCCUUUUUCUAGUAUAUUAAACAGAUAUUGAUAUUGAAUUCAGAUCUUUUCAUGGUGUAAACCUACACUUGCACAAAUAGUGUCAGUCAAAUGCAAUGUUUCCUUUUUUACAUUAAACAGAAAAUAGUUUAGAUCCAAGCACUCGUUAAUAAAUUUUUUUUACAUUUUUAACCAA